rnacentral:rRNA from 1 species
GACGAACGCUGGCGGCGUGCCUAACACAUGCAAGUCGAGCGGGGGAAGGUAGCUUGCUACCGGACCUAGCGGCGGACGGGUGAGUAAUGCUUAGGAAUCUGCCUAUUAGUGGGGGACAACAUCUCGAAAGGGAUGCUAAUACCGCAUACGUCUUACGGGAGAAAGCAGGGGAUCUUCGGACCUUGAGCUAAUAGAUGAGCCUAAGUCGGAGUAGCUAGUUGGUGGGGUAAAGGCCUACCAAGGCGAUGAUCUGUAGCGGGUCUGAGAGGAUGGUCCGCCACAAUGGGACUAGUACACGGCCCAGACUCCUACGGGAGGCAGCAGUGGGGAAUAUUGGACAAUGGGGGGAACCCUGAUCCAGCCAUGCCGCGUGUGUGAAGAAGGCCUUAUGGUUGUAAAGCACUUUAAGCGAGGAGGAGGCUACUAUAGUUAAUACCUAGGGAUAGUGGACGUUACUCGCAGAAUAAGCACCGGCUAACUCUGUGCCAGCCGCCGCAGUAA